rnacentral:rRNA from 1 species
UGGCCUACCAAGGCGACGACGGGUAGCCGGCCUGAGAGGGCGACCGGCCACACUGGGACUGAGACACGGCCCAGACUCCUACGGGAGGCAGCAGUGGGGAAUAUUGCGCAAUGGGCGAAAGCCUGACGCAGCGACGCCGCGUGAGGGAUGAAGGCCUUCGGGUUGUAAACCUCUUUCAGCAGGGACGAAGCGAAAGUGACGGUACCUGCAGAAGAAGCACCGGCUAACUACGUGCCAGCAGCCGCGGUAAUACGUAGGGUGCAAGCGUUGUCCGGAUUUAUUGGGCGUAAAGAGCUCGUAGGCGGUUUGUCGCGUCGGAUGUGAAAACCCAGGGCUCAACCCUGGGCCUGCAUUCGAUACGGGCAGACUAGAGUAUGGCAGGGGAGACUGGAAUUCCUGGUGUAGCGGUGAAAUGCGCAGAUAUCAGGAGGAACACCGGUGGCGAAGGCGGGUCUCUGGGCCAAAACUGACGCUGAGGAGCGAAAGCGUGGGGAGCGAACAGGAUUAGAUACCCUGGUAGUCCACGCCGUAAACGUUGGGCGCUAGGUGUAGGGGACCUUCCACGUCCUCUGUGCCGCAGCUAACG